rnacentral:tRNA from 1 species
CGCGGGAUGGAGCAGUCCGGUAGCUCGUCGGGCUCAUAACCCGAAGGUCGUUGGGUCAAAUCCAGCCUCCGCAACCA